rnacentral:sRNA from 1 species
GCUCCGAGGAGCUCGGUUCAGAUCCCGGCCGCCUGGGCUCCAGGAGCCCCGGAACCAGGAUAAGUCGGAUGGCUGCCGCGGCGAAGCGGGGGGCGGGGUGGACCGUGCCCGGUAUUUUCUAUACGGGUUCCGGGGCCCGGUAGAGGCGCGCCAAGAGGAAAGGAAAGUGCGGCGGCCCUGGAACCUGGAUAUCGCGCGAGAUUUGUGACCCAGAAGGAAAUCUCUGACCUCAGCUGUAGCUCUUGGUGCUGGCCAGAAGCCAACUUCAUGUCUGAGUGCACGAGCAGCAGUUUGCCAUGGAGAGCUUGGGGCUGCACACGGUGACCCUUAGUGAUGGGACAACAGCCUACGUCCAGCAAGCUGUCAAAGGAGAGAAGCUUCUUGAAGGGCAGGUGAUCCAGCUCGAGGAUGGGACCACCGCAUACAUUCACCAGGUGACGGUACAGAAAGGUGAGGGCACCCCAACACACCAUGCCUUGUCGAGGGAAGCCUGACAGCCCCCACCAAGGGACCCCUCCAUGGCACUGAGCUCCAGGGAAAGGCAGGCAUUGCUCUCGUUACAGAAGCUCUCUCCUUUGAGGAUGGUCAGCCUGUGCAGCUGGAAGAUGGCAGCAUGGCUUACAUACACCGCACACCCAGAGGUAGGGUCACCAUCAUCACAACUCGGGGAAGGAUGGGAGGCAGGACUGGAGGAUGGGGUGGCAGGACUGGAGGAUGGGAUGGCACACAACUGGGGUAUAGACAUGGGAGCUGUCAUCUCCAUGGUACAUACAUGCUCACCUGGAUUAGCAGCCUUGCCCACCUUCCCUGGUGCAGACCACAGAAGCAGCUAUGUCUGCAACUGGGAGGUGAGCCUUGGAGAUCAGUGACGUGGACUUUGAUGGUGGCCUUGGCUCCAGCACAGCCACAAAGUCUUAGGGCUUUAAAUAGGACCCGAGGAUAUCAUCCAAGACCAGGAAAAAAAACUAAUAUUUUAGAAUGAAGCUCCUAAGGUGCUGAAGAAUAACAAUUUAUUCCUUCCGCA